AAUAUUUUUUAUUGUACGUAGUGACUGAAUCACAAUCAAUGAUUCAAUUUGGAUAUCUCAAUUAAUGAAUUCAUGCCUCUGGAUAAGAGUUUGGAGGAACCAUGAUCUCAGGCACAUUGCAAUCUUAAAGGUAGAUGAGAAAAACUAAACGAAAUGCGAAGAUGUUUAACCAUCUCAUUGUGAAUAUCCGAUGAACACCUAAUGUGAAAUGAGUUUUUCGACACAUCUUUAUGUGAACGAUUCGGAAAAUAGCACUUGACUGCGCAGUAGGGUGAAGCACAUUUAAUUUGGAAAUCAAAUGUUCUGGUCAGAUUUGGAAAUCAGAUAGAACAUGUAGCACAAAACUGCAUAUGGAGGUUGGAGGACAAAAGAAGAAAUUAAAGCACCAUCCACUUGUCUCGGUUGGGCAAAAUAUGCGCCUGCUUCAACUUCCCAAGAACAUUCCCUAGUACUGCAACUAAGUUUUUUUUUUUGAAAAAUUAGCAGGAGCACUGCUAUGUCAUAUAAGAAGGAGCAACUAAGUUGUUGGGUGUUCGACCCAUGCAUAUCCGCUCAAGUUGAACUGGUUGGUACUAGCUGCACCCGUGUGGUAUCAGUAUCACAUCAUGGGUCGACUUCUUACCUUUUGCAUGUCCUCCCAACGCCUCACAUGCCUACUAAGACAGUCAGAAAAAAAAACAUUUGUCAUGUUACCCUCUUUGACGCUAAAGAGCACAUCGUCACCAUGCAGAUUUUUGCCUCUUCCUAUCAUUUUUGUGCUUUGAAGCUUAUGCCCAUCAGGUUUAUAUAUAUAGGGUCA
rnacentral:lncRNA from 1 species